GACGAAGGAUCCAAGCGUUAUCCGGAUUCAUUGGGUUUAAAGGGAGCGUAGGCGGGUUUAUAUGUCAGUGGUGAAAUCCUAUCGCUUAACGAUGGAACUGCCAUUGAUACUGUAGACCUAGAGUACAGAUGAUGUUGGCGGAAUAUGACAUGUAGCGGUGAAAUGCAUAGAUAUGUCAUAGAACACCGAUUGCGAAGGCAGCUGACAAAACUGUAACUGACGCUGAGGCUCGAAAGUGCGGGGAUCAAACAGG
rnacentral:rRNA from 1 species